rnacentral:lncRNA from 1 species
AGUUGCUUCUGUGGUAGUGGGAGCUGCAGUAGUUUGAGGGGGAGCCUUUACUGGCAUGAAAGGGUUUCUGUAUCCUGGGUACAUGAGGUAAGAGUGCAUCAAUUCUUGCUGCUGCUGCUGCUUCAACUGUUGCUGCUGCUGCUGCUGCUGCAUCAACUGUUGCUGCAUCAACUGUUGCUGCUGCUGCUGCAUCAACUGUUGCUGCUGCUGCUGAUCUUGUGGGGGAAGCUUAGAGGCAGUGGAUCCUGGGUUUUGCAUCCUGGGUUGUAUCCCAGUAGAUGGAGCUUCAGUAGUGGGAGCUGAUGGAUGGAUAAGUGGUCGAUCCAUAGGAGAUUGAGAGGCUUGGGUUGACACAGGGCAAGAAAGGGUUACUGGAUUGCCUUGCCAUAACAUCUGGAGCAAAUGGUUGCCACCCUGGAGGGAAAAUAAAUAAAUACCAUUAAAAAAAUAAGUCA